AUGAACGCUAGCUACAGGCUUAACACAUGCAAGUCGAGGGGCAGCAUGGUCUUAGCUUGCUAAGACUGAUGGCGACCGGCGCACGGGUGAGUAACACGUAUCCAACCUGCCGUCUACUCUUGGACAGCCUUCUGAAAGGAAGAUUAAUACAAGAUGGCAUCAUGAGUCCGCAUGUUCACAUGAUUAAAGGUAUUCCGGUAGACGAUGGGGAUGCGUUCCAUUAGAUAGUAGGCGGGGUAACGGCCCACCUAGUCUUCGAUGGAUAGGGGUUCUGAGAGGAAGGUCCCCCACAUUGGAACUGAGACACGGUCCAAACUCCUACGGGAGGCAGCAGUGAGGAAUAUUGGUCAAUGGGCGAGAGCCUGAACCAGCCAAGUAGCGUGAAGGAUGACUGCCCUAUGGGUUGUAAACUUCUUUUAUAAAGGAAUAAAGUCGGGUAUGCAUACCCGUUUGCAUGUACUUUAUGAAUAAGGAUCGGCUAACUCCGUGCCAGCAGCCGCGGUAAUACGGAGGAUCCGAGCGUUAUCCGGAUUUAUUGGGUUUAAAGGGAGCGUAGAUGGAUGUUUAAGUCAGUUGUGAAAGUUUGCGGCUCAACCGUAAAAUUGCAGUUGAUACUGGAUAUCUUGAGUGCAGUUGAGGCAGGCGGAAUUCGUGGUGUAGCGGUGAAAUGCUUAGAUAUCACGAAAAACUCCGAUUGCGAAGGCAGCCUGCUAAGCUGCAACUGACAUUGAGGCUCGAAAGUGUGGGUAUCAAACAGGAUUAGAUACCCUGGUAGUCCACACGGUAAACGAUGAAUACUCGCUGUUUGCGAUAUACUGCAAGCGGCCAAGCGAAAGCGUUAAGUAUUCCACCUGGGGAGUACGCCGGCAACGGUGAAACUCAAAGGAAUUGACGGGGGCCCGCACAAGCGGAGGAACAUGUGGUUUAAUUCGAUGAUACGCGAGGAACCUUACCCGGGCUUAAAUUGCAGAUGAAUUACGGUGAAAGCCGUAAGCCGCAAGGCAUCUGUGAAGGUGCUGCAUGGUUGUCGUCAGCUCGUGCCGUGAGGUGUCGGCUUAAGUGCCAUAACGAGCGCAACCCUUGUUGUCAGUUACUAACAGGUUCCGCUGAGGACUCUGACAAGACUGCCAUCGUAAGAUGUGAGGAAGGUGGGGAUGACGUCAAAUCAGCACGGCCCUUACGUCCGGGGCUACACACGUGUUACAAUGGGGGGUACAGAGGGCCGCUACCACGCGAGUGGAUGCCAAUCCCCAAAACCUCUCUCAGUUCGGACUGGAGUCUGCAACCCGACUCCACGAAGCUGGAUUCGCUAGUAAUCGCGCAUCAGCCACGGCGCGGUGAAUACGUUCCCGGGCCUUGUACACACCGCCCGUCAAGCCAUGGGAGCCGGGGGUACCUGAAGUGCGUAACCGCGAGGAGCGCCCUAGGGUAAAACUGGUGACUGGGGCU
rnacentral:rRNA from 1 species